UACGGGGGGAGCAAGCGUUGUUCGGAUUUACUGGGCGUAAAGGGCGCGUAGGCGGCCACCGCAAGUCAGUUGUGAAAGCUCUGGGCUUAACCCAGAAAGGUCAACUGAUACUGCGGGGCUAGAGUGCAGAAGGGGCAACUGGAAUUCUCGGUGUAGCGGUGAAAUGCGUAGAUAUCGAGAGGAACACCUGCGGCGAAGGCGGGUUGCUGGGCUGACACUGACGCUGAAGUGCGAGAGCUAGGGGAGCGAACGGG
rnacentral:rRNA from 1 species